rnacentral:lncRNA from 1 species
UCUCUCUCAAAACCUCUUCUUUUUCUCUCUCACUUCACCUUUUUCUCCCUUACACCAUCAGCCAACCACCAUUCCGGUCAAAACUAAGGUUCUGGCUAGUGCUCCGGAGAACUAAACAAACCUUUUGAGUUGCUCCAGUGAACUGAACAAACAUCACCAUCAUCCCUUUUCAGAUUCUGAUCGAGAUCUAACCAUCGGCAGCUUCCGGUGAUAGAUCUCAUCUCGGGCUUUCUCUGUUGUCAGCCCCCACCACCAAGAUUCGGUACCACUGGUUGUUUUUCUAGUUACCCUGCUGUGAUAGGGAUGACCGCUACCACCAUAUCUGCCAAAGACUCUGGCGGCAAACGUGUGGGGGUGAGGACAACGGUUCAGCUGUGGGUGAGAGAGGCGCGAUGGUGUUGAUUUGACCAUGGUAAUCGGCCGAUUCCCCAUCGCAGAUCUGUUUUAGAUCUAAUCCGAAAUUGAACAGAGAGAUGGAGAUAGUGACCGAUGGUCUCCGGCGAUAUUAUGGUGUAAGUGGUGAUAUUGCACAAUGGUUUGAAGAUUGUUGAAUGCUGAUAUAAUUGUUGCAGGUUUUAUUAUUUGCAAUGAAUACGAAGGUGUUAUGGAAAAGUCAUGUGAAUUAAAUGGAUUUAAUGCUUUGAAGAUAUGUAUGUUUAUUGGAAACCUGCAAAUAAAAGAAAGUAAUUAAUUC